CAAGUAGCUGGGAUUACAGAUUCGUGCUACCACACCUGGCUCAUAUUUGUAUUUUUAGUAGAGAUGGGAUUUCACCAUGUUGGCCAGGCUGGUCUUGAACUCCUGACCUCAAGUGAUCCGCCUGCCUCGGACUCUCAAAGUGCUGAGAUUGCAGGUGUGAGCCACCAUGCCUGGGCUAACAGCUUUAUUUGAAAUACCUCAAACCUGAGAACAACUCAAAGGUUAAUCAACAGAUUAAUGGACAAACAAAUUGUGGUACAUCCAGACAACGAACUACUGCUUAACAAUCACAAUAACAACAACAACAAAAUGAAAUAUUGAGAUACAUAAAAACAUAGAUGAAUCUCAAAAUAAUUACGUUAAGUGCAAAAAGCCAGCUCCUCCAUGUAUAUACUGUAUGACUUCAUUUAUAUAAAAUUCUAGAAUAUGUAAGGUAAUCUAUAAUGAGAGAAAUAAGAUGCUGGCUACCUGAGGAUGGAGUUGGGGAGGAAGGAAAAAGAGGAAGGGAUUUCCAAGGGUGCUGAAUGUUAGGCUGAAACCUUAUCCCCAGUGCAUUAAUAUGAAGAGGUGCGGUCUCUGGGAGGGGAUUAGGUAGUGAGGGCUCUGUCCUCAUGUAGGGAUGAGUGCCCUUAUAAAAGAGGCCCAAAGGAGCUUCUGCCAUGUGAGGACACUGCAAAAAGGUGUCAUGUAUGAAGCAGGGAGCCCUCACCAGACACCAAAUCUGCUGGUGUCUUGAUUUUGGACUUCCCAGCCUCUGGAACUAUUAUUUCGGUAUGUCGUGCUGCUACUGCUCCUUGAAGCAUUUGGGUGGCAUUUUGUUUGCAGUUAGAACACCUACACCCAGAGAUUCUGCCUGUCCUCUUUGCAGCCCUUCUGUUGUGGAAAACACCUCUUCUCUGGAGCACAGUACAGCAGCUAGGACGGCGCAACAGGGAGUUCCAUGGAGAUUCUGGAAAGGGAUAUGGUGGACUAGGAACGGCCUGUUCCUGAAACCAGGUAAACCAGGGCUUUACUCCACGUCGGGUCCCAGAAUCGGGUGUAAAGACAGGGAAAGUGAUUCUGCGUGAGCCUUCUGGAGUCAGGGUUCCCGGAGUGUGUCCCCGGAAGGGGAGAGGAGCCCGAACCCGCCCUGCUGCUCUUUGGAAGGGAGCCCUGCCAUUUCCUUAGGCCGUGGCCUCCCUCCCUGGAAAGGGUGACACCCACCGGUUCCUGGUACCCGCAGGCUGCUUGCGGGGCGCCCCCAGCACCCCUCCCCGCCAGGAGCGCUCCCUGACACUCUCACGCCUUUUUACUUGUAUCGGGGUAAGACAUGGCACAGAAAAGUCCCCCUUUAUCCAGUCUGCGGUGCACGUUGUGAACAUCACAGCAAGGAACACAUGAGUUUUAAGUCAGA
rnacentral:lncRNA from 1 species